GUUGCUUGCUACAAUUUACAUCAAUGAAGAACGGAUCCCUCUGAUUCCACAUGGAUUUCAAACAAGGUUGGAAUGGAUCAGAAUCUUCCAAGCCUUCCCAAAGUUCCUACAACCGAUCGAUAUGCCGUGCCACAGGCUGCUUGGUGCAGUGGACCAGAGGCUAAUAAAACUGUCCUUAUCCAUAAGCCGCAGUAUUAUGUGACCGUGUCUGGGCCAGGAACCAAGGCGUGCUAUGAUUUCAGAGCCUGGAUUCCGGUUACCUGGGGAGGAGACACGCUCCGGUGACGUAGGAAAGCAGAUAAAUCAACCAUCCCCAAGACCUGCGGCCUCCGAAAUUAAGGGAGAAAAUCUGCGUGCGGUUGGUUCAAUUGGCACCCAUUAAAGCUAAUAACUAAUCAUCCUCGCGAGUUUCUAGCUCAGAACGAUGAGAUCUGAGAAGAAAACAACAUCCGUCCACUUUUACACUCCAGUGGAAGGGGUGGUCCCUCGCGGCGGGGCGGCACAGUCUCGCCAUCUGGAGAAUAAAUCGAGUGUGAAGUACAGUAUAGUUUGGGACCAAGCUCCGUGGCGGCCGCUCAGCAGUCAGUUCAUUAGCCCCAAACUUCCAGGGAUUAGAGGGGCAUCAAUUCUACUGUCGAAUAGGAUGAGACAGACAGGGCACAGGAUUCAAGAAGCAUAGAGACAACCAGGAGCCCCCCUCUGGCUUAUUUAUAGAACCACAAAGUAUAAACACACUCAAAUAAGUGCCUUGAAUAACAGCAUCAUCACAGUUCCCCAACAUCUGAAUUAACACCGCCUCCCCAACCCCUGUACCCCCACCUCUCCCCUUCCCAAACAGUGAUCGUUAAAGUACACACUUUACUGGGACGGGGGAAAGCACGCCUCCAUCAGAGGCUGAGAUCUGGUAAUUAAGAAACAGGAAAGACCUCCUAGACUCGGGGGAGAUGGGCAGCCUUUGUAAUUAAAAACAUAUAUAAAAUCAAUAUUUUCAUUCCAUAAAGACAAAUGCCAUGCUUCACGUUCCAAACCACUACUGAACUCUUCCUUUCUAGACUGGCCCAUCCUAACCCAUCUCGUUGUUCAAGUGAUGUCACAGGUAAGGUCUUUUCCAGAUUUGACACAUAAGGUCCUGAUAUCAGCAUCUUUAAGCUGUAAUUGUCCAAGUUAGGUUAAGUCAAAACAAGACAAAACAAAACAAACAAAA